rnacentral:rRNA from 1 species
GUCUAUGGCCAUACCACCCUGAAUGCACCCGAUCUCGUCUGAUCUCAGAAGCUAAGCAGGGUCAGGCCUGGUUAGUACUUGGAUGGGAGAUUCUCUCUCUCCUUCUCCC